rnacentral:rRNA from 1 species
CCUACGGGAGGCAGCAGUGAGGAAUAUUGGUCAAUGGGCGAGAGCCUGAACCAGCCAAGUCGCGUGAAGGAUGACGGCCCUACGGGUUGUAAACUUCUUUUGUCAGGGAGCAAUUGAGUCCACGUGUGGGCUUAGCGAGAGUACCUGAAGAAAAGGCAUCGGCUAACUCCGUGCCAGCAGCCGCGGUAAUACGGAGGAUGCGAGCGUUAUCCGGAUUUAUUGGGUUUAAAGGGUGCGUAGGCGGAAUAUCAAGUCAGCGGUAAAAAUUCGGGGCUAAACCCCGUCGUGCCGUUGAAACUGAUGUUCUGGAGUGGGCGAGAAGUAUGCGGAAUGCGUGGUGUAGCGGUGAAAUGCAUAGAUAUCACGAAGAACUCCGAUUGCGAAGGCAGCAUACCGGCGCCCAACUGACGCUGAAGCACGAAAGCGUGGGUAUCGAACAGGAUUAGAUACCCGGGUAGUC